rnacentral:rRNA from 1 species
GACGAACGCUGGCGGCGUGCUUAACACAUGCAAGUCGAACGGAAAGGCCCUGCUUUUGUGGGGUGCUCGAGUGGCGAACGGGUGAGUAACACGUGAGUAACCUGCCCUUGACUUUGGGAUAACUUCAGGAAACUGGGGCUAAUACCGGAUAGGAGCUCCUGCUGCAUGGUGGGGGUUGGAAAGUUUCGGCGGUUGGGGAUGGACUCGCGGCUUAUCAGCUUGUUGGUGGGGUAGUGGCUUACCAAGGCUUUGACGGGUAGCCGGCCUGAGAGGGUGACCGGCCACAUGGGGACGGAGAUACGGCCCAGACUCCUACGGGAGGCAGCAGGGGGGAAUAUUGCACAAUGGGCGGAAGCCUGAUGCAGCAACCCCGCGUGGGGGAGGACGGCCUUCGGGUUGUAAACCGUUUUCGCCUGUGACGAAGCGGGAGUGACGGUAAUGGGUAAAGAAGCACCGGCUAACUACGUG